UACAGAGGUCUCAAGCGUUGUUCGGAUUCAUUGGGCGUAAAGGGUGCGUAGGCGGCGCGGUAAGUCGGGUGUGAAAGUCCAGGGCUCAACCCUGGAAAGCCGGCCGAUACUGUCGGACUAGAGUCCGGAAGAGGCAAGUGGAAUUCCCGGUGUAGCGGUGAAAUGCGCAGAUAUCGGGAGGAACACCAAUUGCGAAGGCAGCUGCUGGGACGGUACUGACGCUGAGGCGCGAAAGCCAGGGGAGCGAACGGG
rnacentral:rRNA from 1 species